rnacentral:rRNA from 1 species
UACGGAGGGUGCAAGCGUUGCUCGGAAUUAUUGGGCGUAAAGGGUAGGUAGGCGGUCUUAUUUGUCUGGGGUGAAAGCCUUGAGCUUAACUCGAGAAGUGCCCCAGAAACGGUGAGACUAGAGUCCUGGAGAGGGUCGUGGAAUUCCCGGUGUAGCGGUGAAAUGCGUAGAGAUCGGGAGGAACACCAGAGGCGAAGGCGGCGACCUGGACAGGCACUGACACUCAGCUACGAAAGCGUGGGGAGCAAACAGG